rnacentral:snRNA from 1 species
AGCAUUGGGCUUUAAUGGGU